UCUUUUCAUGGAGAGGGGACGUCUCAAGUCGAAGUCACGAUUUCUCCUCAGUUUGGAACCAUCUGUGACUGGAGCCAUGACGCAGCCAGAGCACAUUACUCACUUUUACAGUCACGACUUGGAAAUCCGUGCAGUUUCCAACCAAAAUUACACCGCCACCAUUGAAUUAUUUAAUAGGAUCCAGUUAAGGAUUAGAGCCGUUGCAUGCGGUCUUGGCCAGGAGGUGCUCUCAGCCCCCAGCCCAAUGUGCUGUGCUAUACCGAUGUUCAUGGCUGCACCAUGCCAUUGUCUGCGGGAUCUGCAAUUGUUGCUGGGCUUUGUGUGGUAGGUGCACCAUUUUCUAAGCUUGCUUUUACUGCGAGGCUACGGCUAAACGUGCUCAGGGGAAAGCUGCUUCCUCGGCUAUUGUCUGCCUUCUGCCUUUUCCACCCCUCGCGGGUCUGAGCCUGCGGCUAAGCCCCCCUCUCCACGGCCGUUUGGGAGGGCUACCACCGCGCGGGGUAGAACGGGGUGGUGCGUGCCAGCGCCGGACGGUGGUUCCGCGUCUCUUCUAGUGCAAUCUGAUGACAUGUCUUUGCUAGCCGGAAUGCCUGCGAACCUGCAUGCUCGCAGCCUGGCGAGAACUUCCCCGGCUCCCGGGAGCGGUGAGGGGGUGACGGGCGUUCGCAGCGCCGAGGUAACCCUGCGUUCCCUGCUCCGUACACACCACAACAAUCCCCCGCUACUUCGCCACUAAUUCAGUCAUUCCACCAACUCAUCUGGUGAGGAUAUGACUAAGGACGCGAAGGACGGGCAAUAAUAAAAACAGACGCUCGCGCACACACGAUCUGCAGAAGGUGUGGGCACUCGGAGGGGGGAAACGAGGUGGGAGGAGAAGGGGUGAGUCCAAAUAAAGCAACCUAUAGCCUCUUAUUUUGCCGAGCACCAUCAUCAGGUGCAGGCUCUUUCAAACGCACGGGCGGGAAGGGCAGGCGGAGGCGCGGCGGCGGGGAAGCCUCCGCGGGGGGAAGCUGCGCGGCAGCGGCGGCGGCGGCGGCGGCGGCGGCGGGUUCAGCACCGGGGCGCGGACAGCUCCCGGCGGCCGCCCGGCGGGGAGCGCCCGGCCCCCCCCGGUCCUGCCUCGUCCCCCCCCCCUCCGCUCCCCCCCCCCAACUCCCCCCACAACCCCCCCCAUCACCUCGGAGAGGCGAAAUUAGGGAGGGGGGCGAGUGGGGAGAGGGGCUCAACAGCGCCGACAGAGAGAGAGAGAGAGUUGCAGCUCGCUAUUGAUUCAGAGAUUUACCGACAGGGUGAUUCCCCUUUCUGCAAGAAUUCCCUCUCUCUGGGCUCCGUGCAUGCACCAAAUUCAUUAUGUAGACGAGCAUACCCCUCUCGCUUUAGAAGAAAAG